GAUCAUGGCUCAGGAUGAACGCUGGCGGCGUGCUUAACACAUGCAAGUCGAACGAAGCACUUUAUUACGAUUUCUUCGGAAUGACGAUUUAGUGACUGAGUGGCGGACGGGUGAGUAACGCGUGGGUAACCUGCCUUAUACAGGGGGAUAACAGUUAGAAAUGACUGCUAAUACCGCAUAAGCGCACAGGAUUGCAUGAUCUGGUGUGAAAAACUCCGUGU
rnacentral:rRNA from 1 species